rnacentral:rRNA from 1 species
UAGGGAAUCUUCCGCAAUGGGCGAAAGCUUGACGGAGCAACGCCGCGUGAGUGAUGAAGGUCUUCGGAUCGUAAAACUCUGUUAUUAGGGAAGAACAAAUGUGUAAGUAACUAUGCACGUCUUGACGGUACCUAAUCAGAAAGCCACGGCUAACUACGUGCCAGCAGCCGCGGUAAUACGUAGGUGGCAAGCGUUAUCCGGAAUUAUUGGGCGUAAAGCGCGCGUAGGCGGUUUUUUAAGUCUGAUGUGAAAGCCCACGGCUCAACCGUGGAGGGUCAUUGGAAACUGGAAAGCUUGAGUGCAGAAGGGGAAAGUGGAAUUCCAUGUGUGGCGGUGAAAUGCGCAGAGGUAUGGGGGAACCCCAGUGGCGAAGGCGACUUUCUGGUCUGUAACUGACGCUGAUGUGCAAAAGCGUGGGGAUCAAACAGG